AUUGAACGCUGGCGGCAUGCUUUACACAUGCAAGUCGAACGGUAACAGGCCGCAAGGUGCUGACGAGUGGCGAACGGGUGAGUAAUGCAUCGGAACGUGCCCAGUCGUGGGGGAUAACGCAGCGAAAGCUGCGCUAAUACCGCAUACGAUCUCUGGAUGAAAGCGGGGGACCGAAAGGCCUCGCGCGAUUGGAGCGGCCGAUGUCAGAUUAGGUAGUUGGUGGGGUAAAGGCCCACCAAGCCAACGAUCUGUAGCUGGUCUGAGAGGACGACCAGCCACACUGGGACUGAGACACGGCCCAGACUCCUACGGGAGGCAGCAGUGGGGAAUUUUGGACAAUGGGCGCAAGCCUGAUCCAGCAGUGCCGCGUGCAGGAAGAAGGCCUUCGGGUUGUAAACUGCUUUUGUACGGAACGAAACGGUCCGGGUUAAUACCGGUUGCUAAUGACGGUACCGUAAGAAUAAGCACCGGCUAACUACGUGCCAGCCGCCGCGGUAAAAC
rnacentral:rRNA from 1 species